AUACGUAGGGGGCGAGCGUUGUCCGGAAUUACUGGGCGUAAAGGGUGCGUAGGCGGCCCUUUAAGUCGGAUGUGAAAGCCCGCGGCUUAACCGCGGAAUGGCAUUCGAAACUGGAGGGCUUGAGUGUCGGAGAGGGUAGUGGAAUUCCCAGUGUAGCGGUGAAAUGCGUAGAUAUUGGGAGGAACACCAGUGGCGAAGGCGACUACCUGGACGAUAACUGACGCUGAGGCACGAAAGCUAGGGGAGCAAACAGGAUUAGAUACCCUGGUAGUCCUAGCCGUAAACGAUGGGUACUAGGUGUGGGUGGUUUCGAUACCAUCCGUGCCGUAGUUAACGCAUUAAGUACCCCGCCUGGGGAGUACGUGCGCAAGCAUGAA
rnacentral:rRNA from 1 species